rnacentral:rRNA from 1 species
UACAGAGGAUGCAAGCGUUAUCCGGAAUGAUUGGGCGUAAAGCGCACGUAAACGGUUCGUUAUGUCGAAUGUGAAAACCCUUGGCUUAACCGAGGAAGUGCAUCCGAAACUGGCGAGCUAGAGUACUAAAGAGGAUCGCGGAAUUCCCGGUGUAGAGGUGAAAUUCGUAGAUAUCGGGAGGAACACCGGUGGCGAAGGCGGCGAUCUGGGUAGAUACUGACGCUGAGGUGCGAAAACGUGGGGAGCAAACAGG